rnacentral:SRP_RNA from 1 species
CUAUGCAAUAUGAACCCAUGAACCAUGUCAGGUCCUGACGGAAGCAGCAUUAAGUGGAUCCUCAUAUGUGCCGUAGGGUAGCCGAGAUUUAGCUGUCGACUUCGGUAACGUUUAUGAUAUGCGUUCGAUACAAAGGUGCACGG